UACGGAAGGCAGCACUGGGGAAUAUUGCACAAUGGGCGCAAGCCUGAUGCAGCCAUGCCGCGUGUAUGAAGAAGGCCUUCGGGUUGUAAAGUACUUUCAGUCGUGAGGAAGGUGUUAAGGUUAAUAACCUUAGCAAUUGACGUUAGCGACAGAAGAAGCACCGGCUAACUCCGUGCCAGCAGCCGCGGUAAUACGGAGGGUGCGAGCGUUAAUCGGAAUUACUGGGCGUAAAGGGCACGCAGGCGGUUAAUUAAGUUGGAUGUGAAAUCCCCGGGCUUAACCUGGGAAUGGCAUUCAAGACUGGUUAGCUAGAGUCUUGUAGAGGGGGUAGAAUUCCAUGUGUAGCGGUGAAAUGCGUAGAGAUGUGGAGGAAUACCGGGUGGCGAAGGCGGCCCCUGGGACAAAGACUGACGCUCAUGUGCGAAAGCGUGGGGAGCAAACGAGGAUUAGAUACC
rnacentral:rRNA from 1 species